GGCUGACCACAUUUCUUACAAUGGCUACAGUGCCUCAAAUGCAGGGCAGUUCUUGCAGAUUCCAUGUAGCCACACCUGUUAUUUAGAUAGCUCAUGACCUUUUUCCUGAUUCUUCUUUUGCAGAGGUGUUUUUGUGGGGUGUAGGAAUGGAGGUGAUUGCAGUGCAGUUCAAUGCUUAUUGUUCUCUGUGGAACUGUUGUUCCUGCUGCUUUCAGCUACAUCUGUGCAAAAAGAAGUUGGCACUCCAUUCUGUUGUUGUACUUCUUUUGGCUGCUCCUGUUUGGGGGUCACCACAGCGGAUCAUUGGUCUGCAUAUUUGAUUUGGCACAGUUUUUACGCCAGAUGCCCUUCCUGACGCAACCCUCUCAAGUUUUAUCUGGGCUUGGGACUGGCACUGCGAGUGCACUGUCAUGUGCAACCGCUGUGCCUGGGGUUGGUACCCCGGCUGGGAAUAGAACCAGGUCCAUGGCGAUAGUCCUCCAGGGACCCUGGGGUGCCAUUCUGUAAAAUGCAAAAAUCCAGACAUUUACAUCUAGAAAGAGCAUAUUUGAUAUAUAGAUAAAUUCUGUUAUGGAUGUUUGAUUAAGGUUUACAUUAAAGGCCUCGACCGAGUUUUGUAAAAGAAUCACAGCCUUAAAGGAAACUAUAAGUAUGUGUUUUUGCUCCAAGUAACUGUUGUUGUUUAAUGAAAAUCUUAUUGUGUUGUGAUGCUUGGUAAAUGCACUAUUUCUGGUUUCUUCGGAAUCCACGCAAAUGGAUUCAGUAAUAUGAGUUCCCCUUGGAACCUCAUAAAAGUACCCUUGCCAAUAACAGUAAAGUACAGAGCUUCACAUUGGCUUCUCUAAAAUGUAUUCUAAAGGUAUUCUGACUGUGUUACUUUUUUAAAAACAA